GAUCAGACUUUGAUUAUGGCUCAGGAUGAACGCUGGCGGCGCAUUUAAGACAUGCAAGUCGAACGAAAAUUUACGCUUAAAGAGUUGAUUAGUUUACUAAGAGAUGAUUUAUUGUAAAUUUUAGUGGCGGACUGGUGAGUAAUACAUAGGUAAUCUGCCUUUUAGAGGGGAAUAACUAGGAGAAAUCCUAGCUAAUACCGCGUAAGACCACACUUAGGCAUCUAAGAGAGGUCAAAGGAGUAAUCCGCUAAAAGAUGAGCCUGUGGCUGAUUAGUUAGUUGGUGGGGUAAGAGCCUACCAAGACGAUGAUCAGUAGCCGAGCUGAGAGGCUGGCCGGCCACAUUGGGACUGAGAUACGGCCCAGACUCCUACGGGAGGCAGCAGUUGGGAAUAUUGGACAAUGGAGGAAACUCUGAUCCAGUGACGCCGCGUGAAGGAAGAAGGUCUUCGGAUUGUAAACUUAUUUUAUCAGGGAAGAAGAAAGUGACAGUACCUGAAGAAAAAGGACCGGCAAACUACGUGCCAGCAGCCGCGGUAAUACGUAGGGUCCAAGCGUUAUCCGGAUUUACUGGGUGUAAAGGGCGAGUAGACGGCGCUGUAAGUCAGCUGUGAAAACUUAGGGCUCAACCUUAAGCCUGCAGCUGAAACUGUAGUGCUAGAGUGCAGGAGAGGUAAGCGGAAUUCCUAGUGUAGCGGUGAAAUGCGUAGAUAUUAGGAGGAACACCAGUGGCGAAGGCGGCUUACUGGACUGUAACUGACGUUGAGGCGCGAAAGUGUGGGGAGCAAACAGGAUUAGAUACCCUGGUAGUCCACACCGUAAACGAUGGAUACUAGGUGUAGGCGAGAUAUCGUCUGUGCCGGCGCAAACGCAAUAAGUAUCCCACCUGGGGAGUACGGCCGCAAGGUUGCAACUCAAAUGAAUUGACGG
rnacentral:rRNA from 2 species